GCUGCCGUAGCUCAGUGGUAGAGCACACCCUUGGUAAGGGUGAGGUCGGUGGUUCAAUCCCACUCGGCAGCACCA
rnacentral:tRNA from 190 species